UGUAAAAUAAGCUAAUCUAUAAGCUUUUGGGUUCAUACCCCAAAUAUGAAUGUUUAUUCUUUUACAA
rnacentral:tRNA from 1 species